CGCGGAGUGGAGCAGUUGGUAGCUCGUCGGGCUCAUAACCCGAAGGUCGUAGGUUCGAGUCCUGCCUCCGCAACCA
rnacentral:tRNA from 2 species